GAAUGCUGACAUAAGUAACGAUAAAGCGGGUGAAAAGCCCGCUCGCCGGAAGACCAAGGGUUCCUGUCCAACGUUAAUCGGGGCAGGGUGAGUCGACCCCUAAGGCGAGGCCGAAAGGCGUAGUCGAUGGGAAACAGGUUAAUAUUCCUGUACUUGGUGUUACUGCGAAGGGGGGACGGAGAAGGCUAUGUUGGCCGGGCGACGGUUGUCCCGGUUUAAGCGUGUAGGCUGAUUUUCCAGGCAAAUCCGGAAAAUCAAGGCUGAGGCGUGAUGACGAGGCACUACGGUGCUGAAGCAACAAAUGCCCUGCUUCCAGGAAAAGCCUCUAAGCAUCAGGUAACAUCAAAUCGUACCCCAAACCGACACAGGUGGUCAGGUAGAGAAUACCAAGGCGCUUGAGAGAACUCGGGUGAAGGAACUAGGCAAAAUGGUGCCGUAACUUCGGGAGAAGGCACGCUGAUAUGUAGGUGAAGCGACUUGCUCGUGGAGCUGAAAUCAGUCGAAGAUACCAGCUGGCUGCAACUGUUUAUUAAAAACACAGCACUGUGCAAACACGAAAGUGGACGUAUACGGUGUGACGCCUGCCCGGUGCCGGAAGGUUAAUUGAUGGGGUUAGC
rnacentral:rRNA from 1 species